ensembl:lncRNA
UGAAGCUUUCUCCUGGAAGGGUAUUUGCAUCAUGUUCACAGCCUACAAUGUUUUGGACCCAGGAGGAAUCCCAGACUUUUGAAAUGAAGCAAGGAACCUCCAGCAGCUGCCAGGUUUCCGAUACUUGCUGCUGUGUCUGAAGGUGGUCAGUUAUUCAGAGAGAGCUCCCAUGCCAUGGCCUGUGCUGCUGACACAGGAAGAAGGUGGUAUGUUGAUCAUUAUUGAAACCUGAAUCAGUGGACAACGGGCAAAACUACAAACCAUCCUGGGCCAUCACCACCUGAGCUGCACUUCUUCAGCGGCACCUGCUAGAAUCUAUGCUAGCUAAAGACAACUAGAAUGUCUGCUGUAAGAAUCACCUGGCCAACUAGAUAACCAUGGGAUGGUCAAUAAGAUAACUGUGGGUUUACAUUGAAAGCCAAUGACAUUUACAGAAACCACAGGAGGGAGCCUCUUAGCUACAAUAUGCCCUCCCUGGUCCUCCAAACAUCAGUCUUUAACCAGGUUCUGUCCUGCCCAGCAGAAGUCAUGAGCAUAACUGGGAGUGUGGCUCAGUGAUAGAGGCUUGCCUGGCAUGCUCGAGUACUAGAUCCUCAGUAUUGCUAACUGCAAAAGAAAAGAAAAAAAAAAAGUGAAGGAAUGGUACACAUUGUUUUCAACUGGGUCUAACAACACUGGUGUUCUGGUGUGUGUGUGUGUGUGUGUGUGUGUGUGUGAGAGAGAGAGAGAGAGAGAGAGAGAGAGAGAGAGAGGGAGAGAUUUCUUCUUGGGGGUAAAGGAAAUGUGUAGAGUGUUGGCAUUCCUCCCUCCCUUUUUUUCUUCCUUCCUGGUGACCCAUGGAAAGAGUCAGUUAUGAGUCACUAGCAAUUUCAUUUACUCUGACACGGAGGCCCCCUUUCUCUCUGCCUCUUUGCAACACACUAGUGUGCUAGCGCUCAGCAGGGCACAAAGCCCCCGACAAUAAUUGAUGAGGACAGGAAACUCCGCUGCUGCCAUAAUCUCGACUCCGAGACGUUGACCCCAGCUUUGGGACUGGGAGUUCUGAAACGCCAUCUCCGCAGCUGUAGUUAUGACUGUUUUAUGUCACACUGACCCAGCGUGUUUACGAUUUUUAACAACUGUCUGG